rnacentral:lncRNA from 1 species
CUCAGAAGAGAAAGAGCUGAAAUGAAACCAAGAGCUUUGCCUGCUCUGAGCUUCUGUAGAAAAGAUUGAAGCGGGGGACCGGCACUUUCCAGCAAGGGCUGCGUGUAGCGCCCAUCGCCUCACGGGCCGCUCCCGGCCCUGCUGCCGCUCCCUCACAGAGCUGUGCCCACACGGCCCGCUGCCGCGGCCCGGCCGGCCGAGGAGCUGCCCCUGAGGGCAGGGGAAGGGAGGUGUCCUGCUCACCCUGCACCCCUGGGAAAGGGGUGCCAGCAGCCAGAGGCUCAGGAGGACCAGGUGAGGAGCAGCCCAUCGAGGAGAGUCAAGUGGUGGGGCCGGCUCUGUGCAGCCACAGAGCCCUCUUGUGUUGUCUGCUGGGUUGCAGACCAGCCAGAAGAGCAGCCGGUUCCUUUCACGAGACCAAGCAAGGCAACCUUCCUUUGGACCCAUCUCCGUUCAGUGCUGUCUCCCUUUGAGGGAAGCCACCUCAGGCACCGGGACUUUGUGCAGUGGAGACUAAUGAGAUUAAUGGCAGCAACACAAAGAGUAAGGGUAUGCAAAGGCCAUAGGAGAGGUCACAAAGCAUCUUGUGCCACAUGGUGUUGUAGCUGUCCUGAAAGCUGCCAGCUCCUCUCUUUCCAUAUCUUCAUCCUAGAGAAACACAGUGGAGGUAAGAUCAUCAUCAGUAACAACAGAAACAAUAAAAUCAACUGGAAUAUAUGA